rnacentral:rRNA from 1 species
GUCUAUGGCCAUGCUAUCCUGAACAAGCCCUAUCCCGUCUCAUCUCAGAAGCUAAGUAGGGUUGGGCCUGGUUAGUACUUGGAUGGGAGACCACCUAGGCAGACCAGGUGCUGUAGGCG